rnacentral:rRNA from 1 species
CCUACGGGUGGCUGCAGUGAGGAAUAUUUCUCAAUGGGCGAAAGCCUGAUCCAGCAAUGCCGCGUGAGGGAUGAAGGUUCUAUGGAUUGUAAACCUCUUUUAUUAGGGAAUAAAGUCUGGGACGUGUACUAUUUUGUGUGUACCUUUUGAAUAAGGAUCGGUAAACUCCGUGUAAGCAGCCGCGGUAAUACGUAGGAUUCGAGCGUUAUCCGGAUUCAUUGGGUGUAAAGGGAGCGUAGGCGGCCUAAAAGUCAUCGGUUAAAGUCUGUGGGUCAAACCUAAAAUUGCCUUUGAAACUGGGAGGCUUGAGUAUGUUUGAGGCAGCUGGAAUGCGUGGUGGAGCGGUGAAAUGCGUAGAUAUCACGCAGAACCCCGAUGGCGAAGGC